rnacentral:lncRNA from 1 species
UGCUUUUUAUGGUCUUCAAACAGCCACCUGCAGAGGUUGUCUUUGGAUUGUUGAACAAUCGUGACUUGUCCUUUCAUCCUCAUCACCAUCUCUAAAUGCAAGGCUUACAUGUUUCAAUUGGACUAUUAUUGUGGGACUCAUGACUAUAAGGAAACCAAUAAAACUGCUGAUGCUCUGACACAUUAUGAUCAUCAUGUCACUCUUGGAGUUCAU